AAACAAAUGCAGAGGAGGAAUGAAUAGCCUGUUUCAUCCCACUGGCUUGUCUGUGAAGGAGAAAACUCACUUGUGUAGUACUGACUCUACAGAAGAGUGAGACCUUGCGGUCACCGGGACACCGAUGAUGCUUCUCUGUGUGAUGGAUGUGUUCACAGAAUUAGGCCCCAUGACACGGAAGUGGAUGCUGCUCCAAUUUUCUUUCAAGAAACACUACCGGAAUCAUCCUUAAGAUGAAAUUUCAUUUUAAAACUGCAUUCUUUCUCUAGCAAUGGGAACAUUAAGCCAUUCCAAUUGGUUUGUCAGCAGCUGGAAGAGGUUAGAAUAGUGAAACUGGAGUCCACCUACCUGCUGGAAAAGUACAGCUGAAAGAGGCAAUUUCUAGACAACAAAGGGUAAGGAGGUGAGGUGAAGAUACUGUUAUUCUAGUGGCC
ensembl:lncRNA